rnacentral:rRNA from 1 species
UGCUUGGCGGGCGUGCUUACACAUGCAGUCGAACGGUGAAGCCAAGCUUGCUUGGUGGAUCAGUGGCGAACGGGUGAGUAACACGUGAGCAACCUGCCCUGGACUCUGGGAUAAGCGCUGGAAACGGCGUCUAAUACUGGAUAUGAGACGUGAUCGCAUGGUCGUGUUUGGAAAGAUUUUUCGGUCUGGGAUGGGCUCGCGGCCUAUCAGCUUGUUGGUGAGGUAAUGGCUCACCAAGGCGUCGACGGGUAGCCGGCCUGAGAGGGUGACCGGCCACACUGGGACUGAGACACGGCCCAGACUCCUACGGGAGGCAGCAGUGGGGAAUAUUGCACAAUGGGCGAAAGCCUGAUGCAGCAACGCCGCGUGAGGGAUGACGGCCUUCGGGUUGUAAACCUCUUUUAGCAGGGAAGAAGCGAAAGUGACGGUACCUGCAGAAAAAGCGCCGGCUAACUACGUGCCAGCAGCCGCGGUAAUACGUAGGGCGCAAGCGUUAUCCGGAAUUAUUGGGCGUAAAGAGCUCGUAGGCGGUUUGUCGCGUCUGCUGUGAAAUCCCGAGGCUCAACCUCGGGCCUGCAGUGGGUACGGGCAGACUAGAGUGCGGUAGGGGAGAUUGGAAUUCCUGGUGUAGCGGUGGAAUGCGCAGAUAUCAGGAGGAACACCGAUGGCGAAGGCAGAUCUCUGGGCCGUAACUGACGCUGAGGAGCGAAAGGGUGGGGAGCAAACAGGCUUAGAUACCCUGGUAGUCCACCCCGUAAACGUUGGGAACUAGUUGUGGGGACCAUUCCACGGUUUCCGUGACGCAGCUAACGCAUUAAGUUCCCCGCCUGGGGAGUACGGCCGCAAGGCUAAAACUCAAAGGAAUUGACGGGGACCCGCACAAGCGGCGGAGCAUGCGGAUUAAUUCGAUGCAACGCGAAG